UACGAAGGGGGCUAGCGUUGCUCGGAAUCACUGGGCGUAAAGCGCACGUAGGCGGAUCUUUAAGUCAGGGGUGAAAUCCUGGAGCUCAACUCCAGAACUGCCUUUGAUACUGAGGAUCUUGAGUCCGGGAGAGGUGAGUGGAACUCCGAGUGUAGAAGUGAAAUUCGUAGAUAUUCGGAAGAACACCAGUGGCGAAGGCGGCUCACUGGCCCGGUACUGACGCUGAGGUGCGAAAGCGUGGGGAGCAAACAGG
rnacentral:rRNA from 1 species